AGCUAGCGCUUUCCUCUCACUGAAGUACUUUCCAACCAUCGCUAUAGACGUUGUGUAGCUCAGGGCAUAGCCAAGACCUGUGGAGGAUGAAUAAAGAGUUUGUAAUUUCCUAAAACCUUCUAUAUUCUGCAUGAGUGAACUAAUGGAGCCAUAUGGAGGGCAAAUCUCAGAAUUAAUGUAAGGAUGUACAUUCGCUACAGCACAAUAUACAGUAAGGUUGUUCACAGACAGAUCUCAGCAAAUAAAAACGUUGAAAAAGAGCAAGAGAGCAAGAUUUUCACUUGAAUGAGGAAUGGAGAGCAAGCAUGGUGGUGCAGUCGAUCAUACUGUGGAUCCAAGCAGUGGUGGAGUAAUCUCUCUCAAAGAACAUCUGGAACUCCACGAAGAACAUGGAAACACAUCUGUAUGGAGGGACCAGAGGAGACUUGGCUUUACUCAUUUAAAGCUCAAUAAAAUAAUGAGUCAGAAGACGCGAGUGGUUUUGCACGUGGUGAGAAAACGGGACGGGACAUUUCUUACGUUACCUCGUCA